GGGGAAUUUUGGACAAUGGGCGCAAGCCUGAUCCAGCCAUGCCGCGUGUCUGAAGAAGGCCUUCGGGUUGUAAAGGACUUUUGUUAGGGAAGAAAAGCCUGCGGUUAAUACCCGCGGGUGCUGACGGUACCUAAAGAAUAAGCACCGGCUAACUACGUGCCAGCAGCCGCGGUAAUACGUAGGGUGCGAGCGUUAAUCGGAAUUACUGGGCGUAAAGCGAGCGCAGACGGUUGUACAAGUCAGGUGUGAAAUCCCCGAGCUCAACUUGGGAAUGGCGCUUGAAACUGUAUGACUAGAGUGUGUCAGAGGGGGGUAGAAUUCCACGUGUAGCAGUGAAAUGCGUAGAGAUGUGGAGGAAUACCGAUGGCGAAGGCAGCCCCCUGGGAUAACACUGACGUUCAUGCUCGAAAGCGUGGGUAGCAAAC
rnacentral:rRNA from 1 species